GCAGUGGUGGUUCAGGGGUAGAAUUCUUGCCUUUCAUGCAGGAGACGUGGGCUCAAUUCCUGGCCAGUGCA
rnacentral:tRNA from 1 species